CAAGUUAAUCAAUGCUCAAGGCACCGAUUAACUAAGUCAUCUUUUAUCAAACGUACGUCACCAGCCCUAAGUUUCCCGUUGCUCAACUAGGCAAAAUGUUUAAUCGUAUUAUCUUCAUUGUCACAGGCUUACAGUUUUUAAUGCCUCUGAUGUUAUAAUUCCAGUGAUUUGCAACAGAGGAAAACAAAAACUCCUCCUGGUCGGAUUGAGCUGUAAAAAAAGUACAUUCUGUGAUAUGAAUGAACAUUACGGUCCAUACAGUAGCUACACGAUUUCCCCUGAACUUCAACUGUUAUACAGAAGUUUUUUUUAGGGGGGGCUAAGACAUCCAUAUACUCGAUACUCGCAAAUCGGACGUCACCAGGAUCAUCCAUGUCUGGAAAUUCACGGUGGAUUGUCCAAUGGGAAGGGAAGGAGGCCCCUCGGGAGGUCAGAUGGAGUUAUUUUGCAGACAAUACUGUCCCUGCGAGAAUGAGAGGGGCAGUUGUGAUACAAUGCCUUGGUCCUUGCUGUUUUGCGCCCUGUCGUGCUGCUCAGAACUUUUGCCGAAAUUGUGAAUUAGAACGCCAGUCCUGCUGUUUACAGUCUCCGACUCAUCCGUUAACACGCCCGAAAAGACGAAGAUCAGAUUUGUUGUGAUAAAUUGACGGAAGAGCUCAUGGUUUUAAAAUAACCUUUUUUGACGCUUACAGUUUUUUUUUUCUCCCGUGUCAUGGAUCGUGCUACUUCGGAUGAAAACCUGGAAAUGUAGUUAUUGAAGAGGAUUUUAAAUAGUAUGUCGUCUCGUCGGUGGAAUUGAACAGGAAACAAAGAAGAACUGUCUUUUAAACAAAGGGGAAAAACAUCUGGUCUAGUCUUUCUCUGAAACUUCAUCCAGUGACAAAGAAGAACUGUUAUUAAAACUAAGGGUAACCACAUCUGGUACAGCCUUCUCUCUGAAGCUCCAUCCAGUGAGUCAUUAUAUUUGGUCACUCAUCUGGGACAGAAGACAAAACUGGUACUUUAUUGUUCUCUGCCCGCACAUCAGAGGGAUUAACAAAUGAUGCUUUGAACUAAAGUGCAGAAGCCCACACUGGAUAUGUGCUGGCCCAACUGUUGUAACUCUUGAUGCCACACAAUAACGUUGAUGAUGGAAUAAAAAUCUUUAAAGCAAAUCUUAUUACCCUUGGUAUCUCAUAACACAAAAUAUAUGGGAAUUCAAAGUAAGGGAAAAUUAGCUGAAGUUAAUAUAACAGAAUACUUUAUCUCCAGUAGACAGCAUUCGUUAUGAAUACACAUGGACUGAAAAGCUUUGAAGCUGAGUCUUUUUGAUAUCUGCUUGUUCCAACCUCUCUGUGUGCUGGCUUGGAAUUUAGAGUGCCUCAUCGUUACAUAUGCAUUUUUAAAAGACUUGUGAGCACACAUUCUUUAGGUCUGGAGUCUUCAGUCAGGGCCAUCUUUCCUCAUGGAAUCUGGUCUGAACACAGGGCUCUCCACAGGCGCCAUUGUGGCCAUUGUAUGCAACUCUCUGGUGGCCGUCUUGAUCCUUAUCCUUUUUGUGAUCCUGUACAAAGCUUGUAAGGUACCCUCUAAUCAGGAGAGAGUUCCUGUCUUGGCCACUGGGCAAGAAGGGCAAAAGAAUGAACAGAAAUACCUAUUGGCAGCUUAACAAAGCAUCUUUAAUAUUCUGUAGGCAUAACGUUAAAACAAAGUUUUCUGCUAAAGUGGCUUUUAAUAUACCAGGCAAUAAAGCCUUUAUUCCCAAUUGCCUUAUAUCUGUUGGAUUUAUUAUCCAUUUAUGCUUUCAUCAAGAAAUGCUGAUCUCAAAUAGAUCAUCUAUUUACUUGAACCCAAAGUUCUUUACCAGUCAUGAGGGGAAUUAGAAUAUAACUGUGGCGGGAGAAAUGGUGUUUAGGUAUAUUCUAGUGCAUUUUAAAUGCAAAACUGAUGCGCCCAUACUGUACUUUCUUGCUUGUAACUGGUCAAGAAGUGUAUCCAGAGGCUUGGUUAGGCUCCAUGAGUGUUAAACUGCAGCAAACACCAGAAAUGGAAGAAAAUGUCUUGGAACACAAAAUGUAUAGCGUUAAAUGUUUAGGUUACAGUUCUAGAGCAUGUCUGUAGUUUGUUUUCCAUGACCAAAAAUCUAAAUGUAUUAUUUGUGAAUGAUUCUGUUGGUAGUAAUUUUUAUUUUUCAGUACAGUACCUUAUCUUUAAAUGUGGUGAGGAAAGCAACAAACAGAUGCUCUAGCUCACUUUUGGAAGCUGUUACCGUCAAUGCCAGUCAAUGUUUCACUGUUGACAGAAUGGAUACUUAUUUAGCUCCAGAGUAAUGCCCGUUUGUAUUAAAAUAUUCCAGAGGCUGCUACGUUAACAGCUGGUACUGGCUUGGGUAAGACAUAUGGGCACAUGCUCUUCCACGAGACUGCAAAGCACUUUCCCAAAUGCUUCCAAAUCUUGCUAUAUCCCAAAAUAUAUUUGAGCAGAAAAAAAA